rnacentral:rRNA from 1 species
UACGUAGGGGGCAAGCGUUGUCCGGAUUUAUUGGGCGUAAAGAGCGUGUAGGCGGUUUGGUAGGUCCGUUGUGAAAACUCGAGGCUUAACCUCGAGACGUCGAUGGAAACCAUCUGGCUAGAGUCCGGAAGAGGAGAGUGGAAUUCCUGGUGUAGCGGUGAAAUGCGCAGAUAUCAGGAAGAACACCCGUGGCGAAGGCGGCUCUCUGGGACGUGACUGACGCUGAGACGCGAAAGUGCGGGGAUCAAACAGG